rnacentral:misc_RNA from 1 species
GGCCGUCAAUUCCUUUAAGUUUCAGCCUUGCGACCAUACUCCCCAGGCGGGGUACUUAACACUUUUGCUUCGACUGUGAACCCAUGAAAGUCCACAAUCUAGUACCCAUAGUUUAGGGCUAGGACUACCGGGGUAUCUAAUCCCGUUUGAUCCCCUAGCUUUCGCGCCUCAGCGUCAGAAGAGGUCCAGCACAUCGCUUUCGCCACUGGCGUUCCUUCAGAUAUCUACGCAUUUCACCGCUCCACCUGAAGUUCCACAUGCCCCUACCUCCCUCUAGACAAUCAGUAUCAAAGGCACUUCUCCAGUUAAGCUGGAGGAUUUCACCAUUGACUUGAUCACCCGCCUACGCGCCCUUUAAGCCCAGUGAUUCCGAAUAACGUUUGCACGGUUCGUCUUACCG